rnacentral:rRNA from 1 species
AUGAACGCUGGCGGCGUGCCUAAUACAUGCAAGUCGAGCGAACAGACGAGGAGCUUGCUCCUCUGACGUUAGCGGCGGACGGGUGAGUAACACGUGGAUAACCUACCUAUAAGACUGGGAUAACUUCGGGAAACCGGAGCUAAUACCGGAUAAUAUAUUGAACCGCAUGGUUCAAUAGUGAAAGACGGUUUUGCUGUCACUUAUAGAUGGAUCCGCGCCGCAUUAGCUAGUUGGUAAGGUAACGGCUUACCAAGGCAACGAUGCGUAGCCGACCUGAGAGGGUGAUCGGCCACACUGGAACUGAGACACGGUCCAGACUCCUACGGGAGGCAGCAGUAGGGAAUCUUCCGCAAUGGGCGAAAGCUUGACGGAGCAACGCCGCGUGAGUGAUGAAGGUCUUCGGACCGUAAAACUCUGUUAUUAGGGAAGAACAAAUGUGUAAGUAACUAUGCACGUCUUGACGGUACCUAAUCAGAAAGCCACGGCUAACUACGUG